UAAAUAGCCAGGUUGACUUUUGUCGGCCGCCGGCUUCUUAGAGGGACUUUUGGCUCAAGCCAAUGGAAGUACGGGGCAAUAACAGGUUGACCUUGAGUCACAAACUCAUCACAGGCCUGUUACAGCGAGCCUCGCUGAAAAAUAAUUCGCUAGUUGAGUGUCUUUAUCCCUUUGGCGGAAG
rnacentral:rRNA from 1 species